rnacentral:rRNA from 1 species
GAUGAACGCUGGCGGCGUGCCUAAUACAUGCAAGUCGAGCGAACAGAUGAGGAGCUUGCUCCUCUGACGUUAGCGGCGGACGGGUGAGUAACACGUGGAUAACCUACCUAUAAGACUGGGAUAACUUCGGGAAACCGGAGCUAAUACCGGAUAAUAUAUUGAACCGCAUGGUUCAAUAGCGAAAGACGGUUUUGCUGUCACUUAUAGAUGGAUCCGCGCCGCAUUAGCUAGUUGGUAAGGUAACGGCUUACCAAGGCAACGAUGCGUAGCCGACCUGAGAGGGUGAUCGGCCACACUGGAACUGAGACACGGUCCAGACUCCUACGGGAGGCAGCAGUAGGGAAUCUUACGCAAUGGGCGAAAGCCUGACGGAGCAACGCCGCGUGAGUGAUGAAGGUCUUCGGAUCGUAAAACUCUGUUAUUAGGGAAGAACAAAUGUGUAAGUAACUAUGCACGUCUUGACGGUACCUAAUCAGAAAGCCACGGCUAACUACGUG